rnacentral:rRNA from 1 species
CCUACGGGAGGCAGCAGUGAGGAAUAUUGGUCAAUGGACGCGAGCCUGAACCAGCCAAGUCGCGUGAGGGAAGACGGCCCUACGGGUUGUACACCUCUUUUGCCGGGGAGCAACGCGCCACGUGUGGCGCCCCUGAUAGUACCCGGAGAAAAAGCAUCGGCUAACUCCGUGCCCGCAGCCGCGGUAAUACGGAGGAUGCGAGCGUUAUCCGGUUUUAUUGGGUUUAAAGGGUGCGUAGGCGGGGCGUUAAGUCAGUGGUCAAAUUGUGGGGCUAAACCCAUUCCCGCCAUUGAAACUGGCGCUCUUGAGUGGAAGAGAGGUGUGCGGAAUGCGUGGUGGAGCGGUGAAAUGCAUAGAUAUCACGAAGAACCCCGAUUGCGAAGGCAGCAUGCCGGCUUCCGACUGACGCUGAAGCACGAAAGCGUGGGGAUCGAACAGGAUUAGAUACCCCAGUAGUC